rnacentral:rRNA from 1 species
UACGGGGGGGGCAAGCGUUGUUCGGAAUUACUGGGCGUAAAGGGCUCGUAGGCGGCCAACUAAGUCGGAUGUGAAAUCCCCAGGCUCAACCUGGGAACUGCAUCCGAUACUGGAUGGCUUGAAUUCGGGAGAGGGAUGCAGAAUUCCAGGUGUAGCGGUGAAAUGCGUAGAUAUCCGGAGGAAUACCAAAGGCGAAGGCAGUGUUCUGGGUGGUACCUGACGCUCAGGGGCGAAAGCUAGGGGAGCGAACGGG